GGUUAAGCGACUAAGCGUACACGGUGGAUGCCCUGGCAGUCAGAGGCGAUGAAGGACGUGCUAAUCUGCGAUAAGCGCCGGUAAGGUGAUAUGAACCGUUAUAACCGGCGAUUUCCGAAUGGGGAAACCCAGUGUGACUCGUCACACUAUCAUUAACUGAAUCCAUAGGUUAAUGAGGCGAACCGGGGGAACUGAAACAUCUAAGUACCCCGA
rnacentral:rRNA from 1 species